UGUAUUGUUUUCUGUGUGUUUUGCUAGCUUAUCCACCUGGCAGGUUAUGGACAGAAAAUAGUGUGUGUGUGUGUGUGUGUGUGUGUUUGU